rnacentral:rRNA from 1 species
AUUGAACGCUGGCGGCAGGCCUAACACAUGCAAGUCGAACGAGUGGCUGACGGGUGAGUAAGUUCUGGGCAACUGCCUGAGGAAAGGGGCUAACUACUGGAAAAGGUAGCUAAUACCGCAUACCAUAAGAUGUGCGCAGAUGGGAUGAGCUAGGUGGUGGGGUAACGGCGUACCAAGCAGACGAUCCCUCGCUGGGCUGAGAGGAUGAACAGCCACACUGGAACUGAGACACGGUCCAGACUGCUACGGGAGGCAGCAGUGGGGAAUAUGGGAACAUGGGCGCAAGCAUGAUCCAGCCAUGACGCGUGUAUGAAGAGGGCCUUCGGGUUGUAAAGUACUUUCAGUGGGGAGGCGUUACCCGCAGAAGAAGCACCGGCUAACUUCGUGCCAGCAGCCGCGGUAAUAC